rnacentral:rRNA from 1 species
GCUACUCUGUGCAGCAGCGCGGUAAUACAGAGGGUGCAAGCGUUAUCGGAUUACUGGGCGUAAAGCGCGCGUAGGUGGCUAAUUAAGUCAAAUGUGAAAUCCCCGAGCUUAACUUGGGAAUUGCAUUCGAUACUGGUUAGCUAGAGUAUGGGAGAGGAUGGUAGAAUUCCAGGUGUAGCGGUGAAAUGCGUAGAGAUCUGGAGGAAUACCGAUGGCGAAGGCAGCCAUCUGGCCUAAUACUGACACUGAGGUGCGAAAGCAUGGGGAGCAAACAGGAUUAGAUACCCUGGUAGUCCAUGCCGUAAACGAUGUCUACUAGCCGUUGGGGCCCUUGAGGCUUUAGUGGCGCAGCUAACGCGAUAAGUAGACCGCCUGGGGAGUACGGUCGCAAGACUAAAACUCAAAUGAAUUGACGGGGGCCCGCACAAGCGGUGGAGCAUGUGGUUUAAUUCGAUGCAACGCGAAGAACCUUACCUGGCCUUGACAUACAGAGAACUUUCCAGAGAUGGAUUGGUGCCUUCGGGAACUCUGAUACAGGUGCUGCAUGGCUGUCGUCAGCUCGUGUCGUGAGAUGUUGGGUUAAGUCCCGCAACGAGCGCAACCCUUUUCCUUAUUUGCCAGCACUUCGGGUGGGAACUUUAAGGAUACUGCCAGUGACAAACUGGAGGAAGGCGGGGACGACGUCAAGUCAUCAUGGCCCUUACGGCCAGGGCUACACACGUGCUACAAUGGUCGGUACAAAGGGUUGCUACUGCGCGAGCAGAUGCUAAUCUCAAAAAGCCGAUCGUAGUCCGGAUCGCAGUCUGCAACUCGACUGCGUGAAGUCGGAAUCGCUAGUAAUCGCGGAUCAGAAUGCCGCGGUGAAUACGUUCCCGGGCCUUGUACACACCGCCCGUCACACCAUGGGAGUUUGUGCACCAGAAGUAGGU